rnacentral:lncRNA from 1 species
GAUGCUGGAAUCGCUCCUUGAGAAGGCUGGACUUUUACAAAGGCUCUGUCAUCCAUGGAUGUCUGCCCAGGUCAGCAAUCUCUUGGUUUUCCUCUGACCGUGACGCAGAGAGGCGCUCUGGGUGGUUCUUCAGCUCCUGCUGGUGCCUCAGUUCAUACUGUCAUCUGUCUGCCUAAUACCUGAUGCUGAGAUACUUCUUACAGGAUGCUGCUCUUACAAGCAUAAGUGGAUGUCUUUCACUAUACACACCUCAGGACAUGAACGGAUCGAUGGACAGAGUUAAAGACAAUGAGCAAACUGGCCAAUCCAUAUCUGAAUGUCAAACUAUCGACGCCAGAGAAAAAUUCAUGGUAGGACAGGUUAAAAAGAAAAAAAAAACACUGAAAGAAGAAGCAGGUGUCAGACAUCCCUUUUCCCACCCCUGUUUAUGAAAUUAGGAGCUUCAUCAGGAGGAGAAAAGAGAAAUUAAGCCUAAGAAAAUGGGAAGGAGCAGAGGUUUUACACGAUUCAUGAGGUAGUCAUUUUUUCAAAUAGCGGGUUGGAAUCCUGAAAUAUUAUGUGUGGACCUGGAAGUCUCUUUUUCUGGCACAACAGUAUUUUCCUUCUUUUAAACUCAUCUAUAUAUUAAAUUUUUUGUUAAAUCUUAUCUAGCAUUUUUGUGUUUGCAGCAGGAUAGGGCCUAUUAGCCUCAGCUUACUUCUCCAGAUUUCAGAAAAAAAAGCCUACAUCAGUUUUCCUCAAACUGUAGUCUCAGUUUGACUCAUGCCAACUCACAUGGGAUGCUUGUUAAAAAGACUGAUUGCAGGGCAUCCUAGACCAGACCUACUCAAAUACAACGUUGGAGCAUGGUGCCUGGAAAUCUGCACUUUAAACUAAAACAUGCUACCCAUGCACAUUAAAGUUUAGUAGUGACCUUUGGGGGGAUUUCCAACUUACUGCUCCAGGACAGAAAAAAAAAUCAAAACUAUUGAAGAGAAGAAUACCAAUAAUAGCUUUCCUUACUUGGUUUUCCAUAUGAAUAAAUUCUCAGUCUCACAAAGGUAAGGGGAAAUC